rnacentral:lncRNA from 1 species
CCAGAAGCGUACUCAGGAAUCUUCUGGAAUUAAAAGAAAAUACAUAGAUUCAUGCCUCAGGAGAAUCUUGUUGGUAAACUGAGGACUAGCAGAGUUUUGGAUCUGGAAACAAUAGCUACUAGAUCAGUGUUUACUAAGACUGAAGUGUAAAACCUCCAUUUGAGGUCAUCAUUGCUUCUGGAACUUCAGGAUUCAGCUCAAUGGGUCAUCAAAAAAUGAUAGAUUUGUUACAUACAAUCCCGAUGUUAAGAUGAUCAGCUACCAUAGUUCAUUACUGUUCUCAAGCUCUGUGAGACUUCAGAAUUAACCCUGAAGCUAUGUGUCUGCUGGAAUUCAUUAAACAUUUGCCAAAUCCAGUAUACUUAUAACUGGGUGACUAAAUGUCACAGGUCUACUUUUGGACUUGAUAUGGAAAAAAUAUGGAAAAAAUAAUACCUGUAACAUCACUGUAGAAAAGAUAAACUGUCUUCAUCCUGACUAUGAUGGGCUACCCACCAUACCAUCGCUACGCAUAGCACUGCAUGAGAAUUUUAAACACAAAGACUAUAUAGACCAUCAGAAGGAUAAAGUUGCUUUAACAUUGGCUCGCCUGGCCCGCCAUGUUGAAGUGGAAAAACAAC